UACUCCUACGGGAGGCAGCAGUGGGGAAUAUUGGACAAUGGGCGCAAGCCUGAUCCAGCAAUGCCGCGUGUGUGAAGAAGGCCUUCGGGUUGUAAAGCACUUUUAUCGGGAGCGAAAUACCAUUGGCUAAUAACCGGCGGGGCUGACGGUACCCGAGGAAUAAGCACCGGCUAACUUCGUGCCAGCAGCCGCGGUAAUACGAAGGGUGCAAGCGUUAAUCGGAAUUACUGGGCGUAAAGGGUGCGUAGGCGGUUGGUUAAGUCUGUCGUGAAAUCCCCGGGCUCAACCUGGGAAUGGCGAUGGAAACUGGCCAGCUGGAGUGUGUCAGAGGAUGGUGGAAUUCCCGGUGUAGCGGUGAAAUGCGUAGAGAUCGGGAGGAACAUCAGUGGCGAAGGCGGCCAUCUGGGACAACACUGA
rnacentral:rRNA from 1 species